rnacentral:rRNA from 1 species
AGAGUUUGAUCAUGGCUCAGAACGAACGCUGGCGGCAGGCUUAACACAUGCAAGUCGAACGCCCCGGAAGGGGAGUGGCAGACGGGUGAGUAACACGUGGGAACGUGCCCUAAGGUUCGGAAUAUUCCCGGGAAACUGGGAGCAAUACCGAAUGUGUCCGUAAGGAGAAAGAUUUAUCGCCUUAGGAUCGGCCCGCGUCGGAUUAGCUUGUUGGUGGGGUAAUGGCCUACCAAGGCGACGAUCCGUAGCUGGUCUGAGAGGACGACCAGCCACACUGGGACUGAGACACGGCCCAGACUCCUACGGGAGGCAGCAGUGGGGAAUCUUGGACAAUGGGCGCAAGCCUGAUCCAGCCAUGCCGCGUGGAUGAUGAAGGCCUUAGGGUUGUAAAAUCCUUUCGCCGAGGACGAUAAUGACGGUACUCGAGAAGAGUCC